GAUGAACGCUAGCGGCAGGCUUAAUACAUGCAAGUCGAGGGGUAGCAAGAUUGUAGCAAUACAAUUGUUGACGACCGGCAAACGGGUGCGGAACACGUACACAACCUUCCUACAAGUGGGGAAUAGCCCAGAGAAAUUUGGAUUAAUACCCCGUAACAUAGCGAUGUGGCAUCACAUUGCUAUUAUAGCUUCGGCGCUUGUUGAUGGGUGUGCGGCUGAUUAGAUAGUUGGCGGGGUAACGGCCCACCAAGUCUACGAUCAGUAGCUGAUGUGGAAGCAUGAUCAGCCACACGAGCAAUGAGAAACGGGCCCGACUCCUACGGGAGGCAGCAGUAAGGAAUAUUGGACAAUGGACGCAAGUCUGAUCCAGCCAUGCCGCGUGAAGGAUUAAGGUCCUCUGGAUUGUAAACUUCUUUUAUAAGGGACGAAAAAAGGCUUUUCUAAGUCGUCUGACGGUACCUUAUGAAUAAGCACCGGCUAACUCCGUGCCAGCCGCCGCGGUAAAAC
rnacentral:rRNA from 1 species